AACGAACGCUGGCGGCAUGCCUAACACAUGCAAGUCGAACGAGACCUUCGGGUCUAGUGGCGCACGGGUGCGUAACGCGUGGGAACCUGCCCUUAGGUUCGGAAUAACUCCCCGAAAGGGGUGCUAAUACCGGAUAAUGUCUUCGGACCAAAGAUUUCUCGCCUUUGGAUGGGCACGCGUUGGAUUCGCUAGUUGGUAGGGUAAAAGCCUACCAAGGCGACGAUCCAUAGCUGGUCUGAGAGGAAGGUCAGCCACACUGGGACUGAGACACGGCCCAGACUCCUACGGGAGGCAGCAGUGGGGAAUAUUGGACAAUGGGCGAAAGCCUGAUCCAGCAAUGCCGCGUGAGUGAUGAAGGCCUUAGGGUUGUAAAGCUCUUUUACCCGGGAUGAUAAUGACAGUACCGGGAGAAUAAGCUCCGGCUAACUCCGUG
rnacentral:rRNA from 1 species